rnacentral:lncRNA from 1 species
UUAAACAGUGUUGCUGGGAUUCACGAACUAGUUUGGAUUUCUAACUUUGUUUCCUUCUUCUUCCUAUACCCGUCGACAUUCAAUUUACUAGAGGUAGCGGCUGUUGACAAGCCCAAGAUGCAUCUUUGGGAAACUGGGAUUAUGAGGAUUACCAGGCAUCCACAGGUAAAUGCUCAAUUAUCACUUAAAUGUAACCUACCGUUGUAGAAGAUACAGUCUGAAUGAUUUUAUAAUGUGCCUUGUCCCGAAACACCAAUGCGUACCUUUACUUUCAAAUCUCUUUCCAAAUUAAAUUUCAACGUUUGAUUCAAAUCACUUCGCUUUGUACCUCGUAUUACAUUUUAAUUCCAGGAUAUGACACUUGGGAGGGUAGGAUGUACGUACGCUGACCUUACUCCUACCUUUGUGGGGUAGAGAGGUUGUCUCCGAUAGACUCUCAGGUCAAAAGAAGUGUAAUCAAAGCAGAUAAGAUAGGAAGAAAAAUAAUGACAACAAAAUACUGAGAUAUACAGAGCAAAUGAGGCAACAGGUGUUAGAAAAAGUUGAAGAAUAAGUACUAUUAAAGGAGAAGAUGAGAAGAGGAGACUAGCCCCCUUCCUUUCCCACAUAAAAGAACGACGACACUCGGGUAUCUCAUACCCUUCUACCCUAAACUGACCAUAUACCCUCCUACCUAGGAUUAUGUCUUCAGCAAGCUGAAGAUUAGACCCCCGGUUCUUCUAUUUUCCAGGAUAUGACGCAAGUACUAUGACAGAGGAGGUUUAGAGUCAUGAUUUCUAAUCAUUAUUUCUGUAGGGUUCAGGAAUUCUUCUUUUUUAGGUUUUUCGUGUAUUUCAGUCAGAUACUCAAAAUUAUAAAUCACUUUUGAUUCUUAGAACCAAGAAGUGGAUUUAUCGGUCAAUGGUUUUCUCUGAAGGAGUUGAAUAAGGCAUGUCACAAAGAAUGAUAUCUCAAGAAAUGACGGGCAGAGGUUGAUGCAGAACGAGUCUGUACAUGAAAUGAGGUGAAGGUUAUUGUAAUCCCAGUUCUGCUAAUAAUACAUAAAAGGGAAGAAACCUACCAAAUUGAUAAAGCUGUUCCAUAAUUGAGGAUUUUAGUAAAGAGAAAUCAUCUCAAGUCCUGAAAAUCGAGAAAAUAAGUGUCUUUGUGCAUAUAUGUUACACGACAGUCCAGUAUUCUUGCUUCUAUUUGCUGUCUCAUUUCUUAGUAUAAGUUAUUCCGUCUUUGAUAGCUAAUUGAAGCCUCCAUUCCCUAUAUUAGCUGGUCGGGCAGGUUAUAUGGUGCUUAGCUCACACGCUGUGGAUUGGGAAUUCAGUUGCAGUGGCAGCUUCAGUAGGUUUGAUAGGACAUCAUCUGUUUGGUGCCUGGAAUGGGGACCGGAGGUUAGCCAUACGAUAUGGUGAGGCUUUUGAAGUCGUGAAGAACAGAACGAGUAUCAUUCCAUUUGCAGCCAUUCUUGAUGGUCGUCAAAAGUUGCCUGAAGAUUAUUACAAGGAAUUUAUCAGAUUGCCAUAUUUAUCGAUAACAACAUUGACAUUAGGUGCUUACUUCCUCCACCCCAUUAUGCAAGCUGCCAGUUAUCGGCUACACUGGUAGUAGUACUGAUGUUACAUAACUCGUUUCCAUACAAGAUAUCGCGAUUACGAGUUGUAUAUUUUUCCUCAAUAUAUAUAGGUUACUGAUGUCUAUUUAACUACUGUUGGAUAACAAAGAAAGAAAGAAGAGGAAUAGAGAGAAUUCAGUUUAAUGUGUUUGAAAGUAAAGUUCCAACUUGUAUUUCCCUUCAAUUUCUAUAUAGUGUAUAUCAUGACAUAUAUGUCCUUGUUAUUCCAAUAUAUAUAUAUAUAUGGUACCAAAGUUUUCGAGUUUGAGUUAUGUUAAUGAAUUAUUAUUUUUUAUAAAACGCGAUUUAUCUCUUUAGAUGAACCUCAUGGUGUAAAUUUUGUUUAUUUCAUUUAGCGGCUUCAAGUACCAAAUAAUUAACUAACGGCAUUAUGUCUGAAUAAAUGAUUCAUCAAAAUAACGAGUUAUCAUUAACAUUGAGACAUUUGAAAUCGCCAAAUACGUAAAAGUUUCUCAAAUUUGAUUCAUCUAAUGAACUUCAAAUAUCAAGUAAUUUAAAAAAUGAUGCAAAUAUCAAUAAUUUUAUGGUCAGACAAGGCCUACCUAAAAGGAGCAAGUCAGCUUGGACCAAAUCCAAAAAUGAAAAAAAAAAACAGAUUUUUUUUUUUUUUUUUUUAUAAAUUAAACACUAUUCCACUUCUGGUGUUGAGGAAUUAUCAAAUAAAAGUACACCAAAUUCUUUUGACUUUUUUUUACUUUUUGUGAUAAUGAAGAAAUACAUGUGGCCAAUUUGAAUGAUAUUUUAUAUUUAAAUUCCCUUUGGAUUUACUCUUCCUCAUGCAAUGUGAUUGGAAGAGUAGGGAAUGAGUAGGUUCACUUAAGAAUGCUACACUUAAACCAAUCUGAAUAAAUUUUUCACUCGAUAUUUAAUACUAAUCUUAAAGUCUUAUUAAAUUUAAAUUCGUAUCGAAAAAUUUCACAUUAAAUAAUAAGACAUUUCCCAAUAAGAUAACUUCAUGUCCACGAUUCGAACUCAAAAUCCUAAUUAUUAUCCACAUACAUAUACUUCUAGGAACCUUUUUAACGUGGCAUACAUACAUCACUCACUUAAAAAGAACAUACAAGUUAUAUGUCACUAUAAAUAAAUUAUUACAUAACGAUAACUAUUUCAUCAUUCUUAAUCAGAAAAAAAUUAUAUUCACGCUUUUGGUAUAAAAUCGGUUUUGAUAAGUAACGCUUUACCCCUACAAAGUGAAACUGUAUAUUGAUCGAAGUCCAAAAUAAAUAUCGAAAAAUAAUACAACCGUGUAUAAAACUAUGUAAACCCCCACCCCUCCACAUACACACAAACACUUCAUGGGGGUGGAGGAUUUGGUUAGUGUGCUUUUGUUUUUAUUUCAUAAAAAUUGGACUAACAUUGGGUUGAGUUGCACAGUUUAACCAACUAUAUUAUAUCCACUUUAUUAAGUUUCUAACCCACUCCAUCAUUUUUAAUAUUUCUAAUUUAAUGCCACAUUGCCACCAACCUACUUUAAUAUUGGGUAUGUCUUACAUUUUCUAUAACUAAAAUCAUACUAACUUCUUAUUUAAGCCAAUUGCUUAACACAUCUCAUUAUUAUUAUUAUAACUCUUCUUUCUAUUUAUAUAAAUCUUUGUGAUUUAUAUGCUAUUAUAAUUCACUAUUGAUUUCAUAUUUCAUAUGCUAAUUGGAAGAAAUAUGAAGGAAAAAUCAGUAGAGAAAUUUUUCAUGUUGCCAUUCUAUUUAGGGUGUAAUUCUGAGUCAAGUGUUGGAGUGACAAACCAACUUGUGGAAACAAAGAAUUCAUCACAAAUAACAAGUAUGUCUUUCUCCCCUUUUAUAACCCCCCCCCCCCCCCUUACUCCUAUCUCGUCAAAACUUAGUAUCUUCUGUUCAAACUUAUAUACAUAAAAAAUGUUAUUUCGAAUGUGCCUCACAGUCAUAGGCUAGACUUAGAAUUUAAUCUUACGAGUUCUGAAUAAAAGAACAAUAACGACCUUUUAAGUGUUAGUGUGUGGUUCUUAGUCAAGUACCUUUUUGUAUAUGUUUGUGAUUUUUUCUCUUUUUGUAAUAUUGCUUCUUUAAUUUUUGUGUAUAUGGCUUAUUGAAGAAAGACAAGAAGGAGAAGAGAGCUCAUCAAAUGUAAAAAUAAAGAGCUUUUGGGGAUUUUGGGCCAUCACAAGACCUAGAUUUUCACAUAAUGUCCAAAGAUUAAAAAGGCAUUUCAAAGGUUUCUCACAAUUAUUUGGUAAGCAAUUAUACAUAUUAGCUAUCUUAUUCUAUAUGUCAAAUAUACAAACGGUUCAUUAAAGUUGUGAAUUUUUAUUUCGACAUUUUAACUGAAGUUUUUGCUGAUAAGUCACUUGAUAUACGAUCGACAUGUGCCUAUUGAACACUAGAGAUAGUAGUGCAUUUUACAUCAAUAGUAUGGAUUCAACAUCCAAUUGUAUAUAACCUUCAUAGUGUCACAUUGAGAUGUUCAAUAAACAUACAUUAGAUCUAUUAUAAGUUAUUUAUCUAUUAACUAAUUAAAAAUUCUAACUCACAACCUAAUUUUAUUUUUUUUUGUAGCGCGUAAAGAAGAGGUAGAGGUCGAGGAAGCGGAGAUAGAAAUAGGAUAUCCAACAGAUGUGAAACAUUUAACCCAUAUAGGAUGGGAUGGAUCAACAACAAUAAAUCCAAUCAAAGGAUGGGAAAAUUUAAAUCCUCCUGAAAUUAUUUCUUUUCCAUCAAUUUCUAUUAAACAAUUUGAACUUGCUAUGGCUGCUCAAGCUGGUGAAUCUAUACAUGUUAAUAAUUGUGCUUGAUUUUUUUUGAUAAAAAAUAAAAAUAUUAUUUGUAAUUUUUCUCUUGUUUCUUGUUCUAUUAAAUUCUAUAAUCAAUUUUUAUAGCUUUUUCUACUUUUGUUGACUAUGCAAAAUUAAGUGAUAUUUGAAUUUAGAUUAAAUUCGAAUUUACAUUAAAAAAAAUCUCAUUCACUAUCGAAAAUGACCCAUGAAGGCUAACAAAAAAUGACUAUAUAGAGUUGUUUUUUUAAAAAUGACUCUAUACCGAGUAACUUCGCUAAUAAAAAUGACUCAUAUGAUGAUUUCCUUAAUACAAAUAACUCUAUAUGGUUUCGUUAAAUGACUCCUCGUUAAUAAAAAUGACUCAAAUGAUUUUCUUAAUACAAAUAACUCUAUAUGGCUUCGUCAAAUGAUUCCUCGUUAAUAAAAAUGACUCUAACCCUGAAUAACUUCGUUAAUAAAAGUGACUCAUAGGAUGAUAUCCUUGUUACAAAUAACUCUAUAUGGUUUCGUUAAGUGACUCAUCGUUUUAUCUUAAUACAAAUAACUCUAUAUGAUUUCGUUAAGUGACUCCUCAUUAAUAAAAAUGACUCUAUAUAGCUUUGUUAAUAAAAAUGACUCCGUAUUGAACACAAAUUUUAUUAAAAAAAGUGACUCAUAUGAUGAUUUCCUCAAUACAAAUAACUCUAUAUGGUUUCGUUCUCUCUCAUUAAUAAAAAUGACUCCAUAUAGCUUCGUUAAUAAAAAUGACUCCGUAAUAAACACAAAAUUCAUUAACAAAAGUGACUCAUGAUGAUUUCCUCAAUACAAAUAACUCUAUAUGGACUCCUCUCUCGUUAAUAAAAAUGACUCCACAUAGCUUCGUUAAUAAAAAUGACUUCAUAUAGCUUCGUUAAUAAAAAUGACUCCGUAUUGAACACAAAAUUCAUUAACAAAAGUGACUCAUAUGAUGAUUUCCUCAAUACAAAUAACUCUAUGGUUUUAUUAAAUGACUCCUCAUUAAUAAAAAUAACUCCAUAUAGCUCCAUUAAUUAAAAAAAACUCUGUAUUGAACACAAUAUUCAUUAAUAAAAGUGACUUCGUAUAACAAUUGUAUAGCAACAACUAAUAAAAGUAACUCCAUAAAAAUCCAAACUUCAAAAGAAAAAAAAAACUUAAAUUUCAAAAUCUUUAAGAUAAUUAAUGCAUAUAAAUGGAGUUCAAUCAAAUUCUUCACCUAUAUUAAAAGAAGAUAGAAAUAUUUUUGUAUAUAUACGAUUGUAGGCACCAUAGCGAGCCAAAAGUUGAUUGAGAAACAAAACAAUGGCUUUCUGAGAUGCCUAACCCCUUUUGGGGGGUUUUGGUAUUAGAUCUUCUUAUAAACCAUAGUAUAAACAGCAAUUUCCAAUACAUAUUUUCAUGAAAAAUUUACCUCAAAAAACACAAUUUUUGAGAUUUCCAUAAUGCAUCGGCCAAAACGCUGCUUGAAGACGAUCUGACAAAUUAGGGUUUUGCACUUUCCGUUAUUUAUAGAGAAAGAUUGAAUAAUUGGGCUUAAUCCAACUUGAAA